rnacentral:rRNA from 1 species
UCCGUAGGCGGGCUAAUAAGUCAGGGGUGAAAUCCCACAGCUCAACUGUGGAACUGCCUUUGAUACUGUUAGUCUUGAGUUAUAUGGAAGUAGAUAGAAUGUGUAGUGUAGCGGUGAAAUGCUUAGAGAUUACACAGAAUACCGAUUGCGAAGGCAGUCUACUAACUAUAUACUGACGCUAAUGGACGAAAGCGUGGGGAGCGAACAGGAUUAGAUACCCUGGUAGUCC